GACAGAGGGUGCAAACGUUGUUCGGAAUUACUGGGCGUAAAGCGCGUGUAGGCGGUCUGAAAAGUCAGGUGUGAAAGCCCUGGGCUCAACCCAGGAAGUGCACUUGAAACUGCCAGGCUAGAGUAUCGGAGAGGUUGGUGGAAUUCUCGGUGUAGAGGUGAAAUGCGUAGAGAUCCGGAGGAACACCAGAGGCGAAAGCGGCGCUCUGGGCUGCACCUGACGCUGAACUGCGAAAGCCAGGGGAGCGAACGGG
rnacentral:rRNA from 1 species